GUGGGGAAUAUUGCACAAUGGGCGCAAGCCUGAUGCAGCCAUGCCGCGUGUGUGAAGAAGGCCUUCGGGUUGUAAAGCACUUUCAGCGGGGAGGAAGGCGUUAAGGUUAAUAACCUCAUCGAUUGACGUUACCCGCAGAAGAAGCACCGGCUAACUCCGUGCCAGCAGCCGCGGUAAUACGGAGGGUGCAAGCGUUAAUCGGAAUUACUGGGCGUAAAGCGCACGCAGGCGGUCUGUCAAGUCGGAUGUGAAAUCCCCGGGCUCAACCUGGGAAAUGCAUUCGAAACUGGCAGGCUAGAGUCUGGUAGAGGGGGGUAGAAUUCCAGGUGUAGCGGUGAAAUGCGUAGAGAUCUGGAGGAAUACCGGUGGCGAAGGCGGCCCCCUGGACAAAGACUGACGCUCAGGUGCGAAAGCGUGGGGAGCAAACAGGAUUAGAAACCCUGGUAGUCC
rnacentral:rRNA from 1 species